CGGAAGCGGGUCGGGGGUAGCCUCGUGGCAGCGGCUGUAGUCUUGCCCAAGGGGUCUGCGUUUCUUUUUCAAACAAGUACUUAGGAUUUUGACAAAUGCGGUUUGACUCAACCCAGCAACGAGUUACCAUCUCACUCCUCUGGAUCAUGCUGCAGUCUUCAGGCAAGGGAGCCCAGCAGGAAUCCCCCCUACUGCUUCUGGGAAGAGUGACCAGAUGAACCAGAUGGCUGGAGCAGCAGAAACCAAAGGAGGAGCAUGAAGCCUUUAAGAAUCAGAUAGCUAAAACAUAAGGAAAAGUGAAGCCAAAAACUAGGCCUGGACAAAACAGAGCACCACAGUGGAAAAACAAGCACUGAAGGGGCUUAGCCAAAAGGGGAAAAAAAUAAACCAUCUCAAUUCUUCAAUUCAAAUUCCAAUCCUGUGCUUUCAGGAGAGAAGACUAAGAAACAGAAGAACUGGCAUUACAUUUCCUUUGUAGCUGCAGCUGCUCCUGGUUAUCUGCCUCCAUAUUGCCUGGCAGACAGCACUGCUGUGCCAAAACCCUGCAGAUUUCCCAAGAUGUAAAAACAAUGGCACCAAAGAUUGACCAGUGGAUCCAUCACAAACUUGCACAUGCUGGCAGGUACACAGGACUGUCUGACAGGCAUCGCCACAGCCACGGUAGCUAUGAUGAGCUGCAGCUGCUCUGCAUCAAGUCACUGGUGGUGGGGGACAGGUAAUGUUCCCUCUGGAAGCCCUACUAGGUCAAGCAAGGCUUUCUGACCUGUCUGGAGAGAUGUUGCUGAGCCUGCAUUUUAAUUGGUUUUCAGGUGCCAAGAUGGAUUUUCAUGAGGCAAGGAGACCUUGCUACAAGAUGUUACAUUACAUCCUCUCUUCUCAAGAGUACUCUCAUUUUUCAGAGCAAGUGCCCAUAAAGGGCAUGACGUUAGGCAUACCAUCUGCAGGAUGUGCUCUGCUCCUCCAUUACCAACCACAGACUGAUGGAUGCUGCUGCUCUAUCACCCUUGGGGGAAGCAUUACAGACCCCUUCCAACACCCACUCCCCAGUUUCAGUAAAGAUCCCAUGACACUCGGUGGAAAAAAACAACAUUGUAUUUGAUUUACAAUUAACAGGAUUUACAAAUGGUGACAAAGAAACAGAUUAGCCAUGAAAUUAGGAUGCCUUUGUUGUUGAAAGAGUAGCUGGCAAAGCACCUUUAUGUAGAAGUCAUGUACCUCAGUCCUAAACAGUGUAAAAUAACUUACAGCCUGGGCAGGUUAAGGGAUGAUUACACACAAAUGCACGGAAGUCGAGUACAAAACAAAUCAAAAAACCCCUCCCAGUCUACUAGGCAGGAAACCAGUCUUGGUGAGGCUUUUGACUUUCAGAAAGUGAAGGAAGGGCCUGCUGGCAAAUAUUAGGACGUUUUUCAAAAAGGGGGAAAAAAAAUCAACAAACAGUAAAAGUCACUGUGUGACAGCCUAGCAGGCAGGGAGAGCGGGCAGCAGACACCGCGUUAGCUUGCUGAGAAUCAGCAGAGUCUGGGCGCUUGGUGGGACAAUGAACGAAGGCGUACAGAUGGCAGAGCUUCAUUAAAAUGCUACUUGACUGCCAAAAACUUGCAAGACAAAGCGGAAUAAAGUUCUCUGAUGUGCAAUACAGCAAUUUAAGGAGACGUACCUAACUUUUUGAUUUGCAUGGAGCUUACCUAUAUUGUAAACACACACUUUCUCUGACGAGUUAUUUUAGUUCUCUUUGCUAUGGGUUAUGGUGUGUAUUCAAUCAAAUGCAGCAUUCCAAGGCUCAAAACUGACUGAGUGGUUUUCAAUAGAUGGGCAUAUGAUUUUUCCAAUAUACUAGUAUUUUACAUCACAAAUACAAUAAAAACAAGUGAUGGUACUUCUAGGACAGUUCCAAGAUUCAAAUAAAAAAUCAUCAGAACCAUUCUAAAAUAAGAUAUUAUACAUAAUCAGGUCAUGUUAAACAGCACACUCUCGGCAAGCAGCUAAUUACAAGCAUUCUGCUGGUCAUGUUUUUCACACAAAAGUCAUUCAAUAACACAUAAAUAUUUCUUUUUCUGAUCUGCUUCUUUUUACAAAACCAUUCAUCAGAUUCACAGAAUUAGUACAAGUAAGGCACAUUAGCAUAAUCAUAAAACUCACAAUAAUAACAAAGAAUUGUAAAGUUUUAAGGACCAAUUCCUUCUUUGCAGUGAUUUCUGAACCAAGUGAGAUAUUAUCAGUAGAACCCUCCUACACUGACAUGACUUUUAUUUCUGUUGCAGCCAACUGUGGUGGGUGCAAUACUGUGCAUCACCAUGGACAUAAAUAAUUAAAUUAAGAACCGUGUGUGGUAGCAAAUCCCUUUUUCAUAUCUUGCAGAGAAAUCAGACACAUUUACGACAUUUGCUAUGAGCAAAGACUAAGUUUGAGAGCUAUACAGAAGUGAAUUUCCAGUUACUAAAAUAAAAGGGGAUAUUGCAUGUGUCUCUGAGUAUAUUAUUGUUUUCCUAGUACAAAUAUUGCUUAGGAUAGAAAGGAUGCUAUAGUACUGAACUUACUGGAAUAAUGAAUCCUGAAUUCUGAUGCCUCUGAUUCUACUAAAUUAAAUGAAAUAUGUGUUUUCCUUCUUCCACCCCCCACCCUGCACCCAACAAAAGGACUCUCUUUCCCACAGAAGAUUCAUUUACACACAACACAGCUUUUCAUUAGAAGCAUAAUUUACAGUAAAAAUUCUUUACAUUACACCUCUGCUAUCAAAAAACAUGAAGUCUUUCAUUUAAAGUUGUAAUUACACAUUAAAAAAUAGAACACUAUUUCCUUAACAGGAAGAAUGAAUUUGAACAUCUUCGGAUCAGAUUUCUUUAUUGCGGCUUUUGAGUCAAAGGUCAGUCACUUUAUUCUCUAACGCAGCUGCUAUUUGCUGUAAACGGAAGGCAAGCUGCAUUUUUUGUGCAGCUGGAUCCUCUUCAAGUGCAUUUAUAAUCUGGAAGAAAUAAACAAAGAAUGUUUAGAAUCAUUUAGCUUAAAAUAUAUGACAUAGUUCCCAGACCGAGUGUUUGAUGCUACUUUGGUUGUAAAGUGUCUUUAGCAUUCAUUUUGUACUGAAGAUAAGUCCAUCUACUAGGCCCCAUGUUCUACUUUCACACAAAAGCAAUAAAAAUGAAUGUCUCUGUU